AGUCGAGCGGUAGCACAGGAGAGCUUGCUCUCUGGGUGACGAGCGGCGGACGGGUGAGUAAUGUCUGGGAAACUGCCUGAUGGAGGGGGAUAACUACUGGAAACGGUAGCUAAUACCGCAUAACGUCUACGGACCAAAGUGGGGGACCUUCGGGCCUCACGCCAUCAGAUGUGCCCAGAUGGGAUUAGCUAGUAGGUGGGGUAAUGGCUCACCUAGGCGACGAUCCCUAGCUGGUCUGAGAGGAUGACCAGCCACACUGGAACUGAGACACGGUCCAGACUCCUACGGGAGGCAGCAGUGGGGAAUAUUGCACAAUGGGCGCAAGCCUGAUGCAGCCAUGCCGCGUGUGUGAAGAAGGCCUUAGGGUUGUAAAGCACUUUCAGCGAGGAGGAAGGGUUCAGUGUUAAUAGCACUGUGCAUUGACGUUACUCGCAGAAGAAGCACCGGCUAACUCCGUGCCAGCAGCCGCGGUAAUACGGAGGGUGCAAGCGUUAAUCGGAAUUACUGGGCGUAAAGCGCACGCAGGCGGUUUGUUAAGUCAGAUGUGAAAUCCCCGCGCUUAACGUGGGA
rnacentral:rRNA from 1 species